CCAUCUUGAUGGACUGUUCAACUGUUCACCCAAAUAUAAUCAAAAAGCUACUACAAUUGAGCAAUGUAAGUGAUUUCUUAGAUAACAUAUGAUGACUAACCAUGGCUAGUCCGAGGACAAGGCAGAUACUUCAGGAACUGCGUCCAACUAAUGAUAAUAGUUGUUUUGAAUGUGGUGCUCUCAAUCCACAAUGGGUUAGCGUCACACAUGGAAUAUGGAUCUGUUGAAAUUACCAAAAUAAACAACCAAUGAACGAGAGAAAGGACAUUUUGCCAAUAAAACUAACAUUAGACUUGAAACAAUUAAUGGCAGCUAAAAACUGAUGUAAUAUCAACUGGUAAGAUAACUCCUCUCGAAUUUAAGGCGCAUCAAUGCAAUUGAUUCCAACAUCCUCAGUAAUCAUAUCAACAGGUUUAUUCCCAAAUUUAUCAACAAUACUUUGCAAAAAUGCCACAUCUAACAAGUUGCCGUGCUAAUCAUCACCAAAAACCAAAUUUCCUUAAAGUUUCACAUUUUUGAUGAAUCUAUCAUCACCAUGAUUGGAUCAAUUUGCUCGUAAUAUGCAUUCAGUGUUGAAAGAACCCAGUUAAAUUUGAGACCAGGAUGUUUGCUCUGAAUGUAUUAAUUGACUUUAUAUACAAAUUAGCCUGAAGCUUAACACAGAAACAGUAAAUUCACUUGGUCGAUAGCUUUUUUAGAUUCACUGGCUGAAUCUAACAAUGACAAAGACAUCACAUUACCUGUUAACUUGUAAUAAUAACCUAUAAUAAUUGACUGCAUGUACAAAUGAGGCUGGAGCUUAACACAGAAACAGCGCUUCGUUAAGAGCUUUUCAAGAUUCACUGGCUAGAUCCAACACUGAGAAAGUGAAGUGAGAAAGACAUCAUAAUAGUUAAUAGUUCAUUCUGAAUGUAAUCACGAAUUUCUUUGAGUGCAAAUGAUAAUAAACCAAUUAAAAUACA